rnacentral:rRNA from 1 species
AUUGAACGCUGGCGGCAUGCCUUACACAUGCAAGUCGAACGGCAGCACGGGUGCUUGCACCUGGUGGCGAGUGGCGAACGGGUGAGUAAUACAUCGGAACAUGUCCUGUAGUGGGGGAUAGCCCGGCGAAAGCCGGAUUAAUACCGCAUACGAUCUACGGAUGAAAGCGGGGGACCUUCGGGCCUCGCGCUAUAGGGUUGGCCGAUGGCUGAUUAGCUAGUUGGUGGGGUAAAGGCCUACCAAGGCGACGAUCAGUAGCUGGUCUGAGAGGACGACCAGCCACACUGGGACUGAGACACGGCCCAGACUCCUACGGGAGGCAGCAGUUGGGAAUUUUGGACAAUGGGCGAAAGCCUGAUCCAGCAAUGCCGCGUGUGUGAAGAAGGCCUUCGGGUUGUAAAGCACUUUUGUCCGGAAAGAAAUCCUUGGCCCUAAUACGGUCGGGGGAUGACGGUACCGGAAGAAUAAGCACCGGCUAACUACGU